rnacentral:siRNA from 1 species
GGGGCAAGACCGCUCAACGGCAGA